rnacentral:rRNA from 1 species
UUGAUCWUGGCUCAGAGUGAACGCUGGCGGCAGGCCAUAACACAUGCAAGUCGAACGGCAGCACAGAGGAGCUUGCUCCUNNGGUGGCGAGUGGCGGACGGGUGAGGAAUACAUCGGAAUCUGCCUAUUUGUGGGGGAUAACGUAGGGAAACUUACGCUAAUACCGCAUACGACCUACGGGUGAAAGCGGAGGACCUUCGGGCUUCGCGCAGAUAGAUGAGCCGAUGUCGGAUUAGCUAGUUGGCGGGGUAAAGGCCCACCAAGGCGACGAUCCGUAGCUGGUCUGAGAGGAUGAUCAGCCACACUGGAACUGAGACACGGUCCAGACUCCUACGGGAGGCAGCAGUGGGGAAUAUUGGACAAUGGGCGCAAGCCUGAUCCAGCCAUGCCGCGUGGGUGAAGAAGGCCUUCGGGUUGUAAAGCCCUUUUGUUGGGAAAGAAAAGCAGUCGGUUAAUACCCGAUUGUUCUGACGGUACCCAAAGAAUAAGCACCGGCUAA